rnacentral:lncRNA from 1 species
UCCCUGUCUUCAUUCCCCUCUAUUAUUUUAAAAAGCUGGACACUAUCAUAUCUGCCUUUAUAUGGAACAAUAAAAAAGCCAGAAUAUCCAAAAAACACCUAGGGAAGUGUAGGGCAGAAGGUGGUUUUGGGUUGCCAAACUUUAAGCUAUACUAUUGGGGCGCUAAUCUGAAUGCGCUACUACACUGGCAAAAUGGUAUGCCAACAGUCAGUAGUCAAGGGGGCGUGCCCUCAUGGCUCCAGAUAGAAAUAUCCGCAUGUGGUGCCACCUCCCUCCCAGCACUUCUUAAUAACCCGGCGAAAACAAAAACACCUCCCUAUAUAAACAACCCUGUUAUCCUUCACUCCUUAAGAAUCUGGAAACAAAUUCAAUCUUUUCUUGAUUUACCCAAAGUCUACAUAGACAGUCCAAUUUGUCACAACCAUGCUUUCACACCUGCUUUGAUGGAUCCAGCCUUUUCCAGAUGGAAAGCCAAUAAUAUUGUCUUUGUAAGGGAUCUGUACUCUGAAGGUAACCUAAUGUCAUUUCAACACCUACAACAGACAUAUGAUUUACCGUCUGCACACUUCUUCAGGUUCCUCCAGAUUAGGGAUUACAUCAAGACUCAUAUACCACACUACGAGCACAUGCCCAAACACAACACACUGGACAGUCUUCGACGCCUUACACCAGGUAGCAGAGGCACAGUUUCCUUUUUAUAUGAUAUGCUAAGGGCCCAUGAAGUGGUGCCCACUGACAAGUUGAAAAACUAUUGGGAGCAGGAACUUAACAUGGAAAUUUCAAUAACUGUUUGGGAGGGAAUUAUGGAUAGAAUUCACAGCAGCUCUAUCAACUCUAGGCAUUCUCUAAUUCAAUUUAAGGUAGUUCACAGACUCCAUUUUUCGAAAGCCAGGCUCCAUGACAUAUACCCCAACAUUUCUCCUUUAUGCGAUAAAUGUAAACAACAAACUGGUACUCUUACACAUCAGUUUUGGUCUUGUUCUAAGCUAACUUCUUUCUGGUCUCUUAUAUUUGACUACAUUUCAAAGGCUUUCCAUAAAACUAUUACACCAGACCCACUCCUUGCCAUCUUUGGUUCAGUGGUGUAUGAUCCCAACAUUACAAGCUAUGAAGGGCAAGCCAUUUCCCUCUGUACUCUGUUGGCC